UUUUAAAGAGAGUUUGAUCCUGGCUCAGGACGAACGCUGGCGGCGUGCCUAAUACAUGCAAGUCGAACGAACGGAGGAAGAGCUUGCUCUUCCAAAGUUAG
rnacentral:rRNA from 1 species